AAGUCGUAACAAGGUUUCCGUAGGUGAACCUGCGGAAGGAUCAUUAACACGUAUCCACGUAUCAACCAAUGAGAACCUGUUUUCCCGUCUCCCUGUGCAAAGAAUGAAUUGGAACCAGUUUGAGGGAGUGAUGGGACCGAAAGGUCGGCCUUCCUGGUAUACUUAUGUAGACAGAAAUGUUUGCAUAGACAAUUGUAUUUUUGUUACAGGCUAUUUCUUAUCGCUUUGAUCCCCAUCAUGAUCGUGGCGGUAGGGAAACUUUCACUAUAUUUACCUUUUUUGCUAGUUGACUUUUUAUAUGUGUUGUCUUGCGAAAGCAUGGUGGCACACGUUUAUUAAUUGAACGUUAAAAAAUACAACUCUUAGCAAUGGAUAUCUUGGUUCUC
rnacentral:misc_RNA from 1 species